GAUGAGUAUUCUAAGGCGCUUGAGAGAACUCUGGAGAAGGAACUCGGCAAAUUGACACCGUAACUUCGGGAGAAGGUGUGCCGCAAGUAAGUGAAGUUGUACAAAUGGAGCUAAACGGGGUUGCAAAGAAUCGGUGGCUGCGACUGUUUAAUAAAAACACAGCACUCUGCAAACACGAAAGUGGACGUAUAGGGUGUGACGCCUGCCCGGUGCUGGAAGAUUAAAUGAUGGGGUGCAAGCUCUUGAUUGAAGCCCCAGUAAACGGCGGCCGUAACUAUAACGGUCCUAAGGUAGCGAAAUUCCUUGUCGGGUAAGUUCCGACCUGCACGAAUGGCGUAACGAUGGCCACACUGUCUCCUCCUGAGACUCAGCGAAGUUGAAAUGUUUGUGAUGAUGCAAUCUCCCCGCGGAAAGACGGAAAGACCCCAUGAACCUUUACUGUAGCUUUGUAUUGGAUUUUGAACAGAUCUGUGUAGGAUAGGUGGGAGGCUUUGAAGUGAGGACGCUAGUUCUCAUGGAGCCAACGUUGAAAUACCACCCUGGUGUGUUUGAGGUUCUAACCUUGGUCCAUUAUCUGGAUCGGGGACAGUGCAUGGUAGGCAGUUUGACUGGGGCGGUCUCCUCCCAAAGCGUAACGGG
rnacentral:ncRNA from 1 species